CGGGGUUGUAUCUAGAGAGCUAGGUUGUAUCUCUGAGCUCAGAGGGGCCUGGGGAUUGAGUAGGCAGGGGCCUCAUGGAAGGUCACAUGCCUGGGAACAGCAUGGGCAGAGGCCCAGUGACGGGAGGGCAGCAGCCUGGCUGGUACAGGACCCUGGGCUGUACCCCUCACUCAUCCCCAUAGCAGCAGGUGGAACCCCCGGAGCCUCACCCUCCUGUCCUGCAGGUGGAGCCCCCUGAGCUGCCAGAGGACCUGCAGCACUGGAUCACCUACAAUGAGGCCAGCAGCCAGCAGCUUCGGGCUGAGAGUGGACUCAGUGAUGUCAUCAAGGACCAGUGACCGACGCUUCCUCCACUGCCUGCCCAUCAGCUUCCGCCUAGGGGCAGUUGGUUAUCUACCCAGCUGGUCAGUUGGCCUUUCCCACAAAAUGAGCAGGCCAGGCUGGGCUCCAGCUGGAGUGACCUUGUGACCACCAUAGUCCCCUUCACCUGCUUGACACCCUCUGCUGGGCCCCAUGCUGGACACAAUGGAGUGGCAUUGGUGCCUGACCCAGUUUUGCCUGCUAGUUGGGGAUGGAUGGGCAGAGGGGCCCUGAUCGUCCCUGUAGUAAGGCCACUAUCCCAUAGUUCCAGGUAGGGGAUGUACCUGGAGCAGAGGGACAGCAGGAGUGGCCAGAGCAGUGCUGGGCAUGGGCUCUGCGCCUGGCCCUCUGCAGGGACAGCAUUGUAAGCCUGCUCCCUCUGGCCCCCAGUAAGGCUCGGGCUCAGGAGGGGAGUAGAGUCGGGGUGGUGGUGGAAAGUACUUGGGAGGGAACGUUCCCAGGAUGUUUUCUGGUGGCAGGGGAUGCUGUGUAGGCGGGUUGGGCCACCUUUGAGCUUAGGGUCAGGCUGGCAGGGCAGGACUUGUCCAAUUCCUGCAGAACAUGAGACCAGGAGUUGCCCCAAGUUCCCAGCUGGCCUCCCUGCCCUGCUGGCCCAUGAGCCUUGCACCUGCCCCAGAGAACAGGGUCCCCUGGUGCAGCGUUGGUCUCCUGCCUCUCCUUCCAGGCUGGGUUGGAGGGCAGGGCAGGCAACUGGGGUUUGUGGCCCAAAGGUUCCCAGAAGGGUUGCUGGGAGUGUUCUGGUUAGGGAGGGAACAGCUGGGGGGGUAUUCUGCAAGGGCACCCUCAACUACCUGCACCCAUCCGUACCCACUAGGCCUGUGCUACCUCAGGCUGAAGCCUGCCCUCUCUGGGCCAACAGCACCUCUCUCCCCCAAUUGUGCCUGCCCCAUACCCUGCCCCACUCUAAGCGCUCUCCCUGCAUGGACUGGGGUCAGGGAAGGGUCUUGCAUUCUCUGUGAUAUAGGUCCCUGGGCAGCUGCUCUCAGGCCUUCCUAGGGGACACUGGAAGCUGGCUCAGGCUGCCUACUCCUGCCUAAUCCCUUACCUUACAAUGGGGGAAACUGAGGCCUGGGUCAACCCAGAGCUGCUGAGAAAACCCAGGACCAAGUGGGGCUGGUCCCGAGGCUCUGGCCACGCCCUGUCUAGCUGGGGUACUGAGGCCAGGAGCGCUGGGUGUGGGGAUCUCUGUUUGCCUGCUCCGGGAACCCCCACACCUGCCCUGCCAGCCCAGGGUCAGGACAUCACUGGAAGGCCAGAACUGCCUCCCCCAGGAGCUGCCACCUCCUGCCCCAUGCUGCCCUUCUGGCCAUAGCUGCACCUUUUUGUCUUAAUUAAAGAAAGCACAAGAUUAAAGAGUUUUAAAGGUGUGUGUGCUG
rnacentral:lncRNA from 1 species